GAGAUACGGCUCAGUUGGUAGAGUGCUUGCCUUGCAUGCACAAGGCCCUGGGUUCAGUCCCCAGCAACACA
rnacentral:tRNA from 1 species